AACCGGGAGAGGUAAGAGGUACUACAGGGGUAGGAGUGAAAUCUUGUAAUCCCUGUGGGACCACCUGUGGCGAAGGCGUCUUACCAGAACGGGUUCGACGGUGAGGGACGAAAGCUGGGGGCACGAACCGGAUUAGAUACCCGGGUAGUCCCAGCCGUAAACGAUGCUCGCUAGGUGUCAGGCAUGGCGCGACCGUGUCUGGUGCCGCAGGGAAGCCGUGAAGCGAGCCACCUGGGAAGCACGGCCGCAAGGCUGAAACUUAAAGGAAUUGGCGGGGGAGCACAACAACGGGUGGAGCCCCUGCGGUUUAAUUGGACUCAACGCCGGACAACUCACCGGGGGCGACAGCAAUAUGUAGGCCAAGCUGAAGACUUUGCCUGAAUCCGCUGAGUAGAGGUGCAUGG
rnacentral:rRNA from 1 species